GUUAAAGUCUUGCUUUUUCAACCCUCACAGGUUGUCACACAAAUGGAUUAAUGAAAUAAGGUAAAGGAGAGCCAAGAGAAAAGAUAGACCAAAACAAGAGAAAGAAGGAAAAACAUCACAAGUUCUUUUCUGUCCUGAGAAAGGUCCUGAACAGUCUUCAGGCUCCUUUGCUUUUCUUCACAGAGCUGUGAUACAGAUGUUUAAAAAGAUGUAAAUGACAAUGAACUUAUAAAGAAGAACUUCCAAUGGGCGUGUUACCUGGAAGUGGAUCUCCCCAGGAUAAAUAUAAAGUGACAGGAGAAGCCUUCACUGAAGGAAAGAUUUAUCUUUUUGGGAAGACUGUCAGCACAAGGCUGUGUGUCGUUUGAGAAACAAUGGUUUUGAAGACUUACCAGUUAUUGCUAGAAGACCAUCCCAGCAAAAGAUGCAAAUACUGUGUCAGCUAAAUCCAGAGAAUGUUGGAAGGUUGUGCAACACCAGUUGAAUAUCCCCCAGAUCAACCCAUGUCUCCAGCCAGCAGAGACCAUGUUCUCACACCUUCUCCUUAUGCUCAUAUUUAGUCUGAAGAAUCUGACCAGCUCCACAGAUUAUAGGAUCAUUCUAUGACCCAGGUUGGAAGGGACCUCAGGAGGUCUCUAGUCCAACCCCUUUUCAAAACAGGGUGACUGCGAUCAGAUCAGGGUGCUCUGGGUUUUAUUCAUUUAGGUCCUGAAACUAUCCAUGGACAAACACCCCAUGAAUUCCCUGUGCAGUCUGCUUCACUGCCUGGCUGUCCUCAGGGUGAAGAAACUUUUCCUUGUAUCCCAAUUUGUCCCCUCUCCUCUCACCAUACAUCACUAAAGGUCCUGGCUCUGCCCUCUUCAUACCCUCCCUGUAGGUACUGGGGGCUGCUGUUUAUGCUGUUUAACACCUGCAAAGCUUUUCCUUCUCCAGCUAUUGAGAGCAGCAUUUGCCCUUUCUGAUUUCUGUAAGGCCCCCCUCAGCCCAUUCCUCCAGCCUGUCUGGGUCUCUCUGUAUGGCAGCCCUGCCCAUAAGUGAAUCAGUGAAACUGCUGGGAGAUAGGACUUCUCCGUAAGUUACCCACAUUAAUAAUGCCUGUCUUUGCCACACUUUCUGUCUUUCAGAGGUGGCUGCUGCAAUGAUCAGGCUGAGGAAGAAAGCAGGAAUGCAGUGCUUCCCCCUGGGAUGAUGGAUAAUGUCAGCCCCUUGGGCAGUGGGGACAAAAGACAUUUUGUGACAAAGUUGUGAAAAGCUCUGGAUGGGAGGCAGAGCCACUGGCUCCACGAUCUGGCUGUGCAGGCUUGCAGAUCUUUUAAUUCAAGAAUCAGUAGAUAUCUCCAAAAUAACCUGUUGUUUGUCCUUUCUCCAGUCUUAGAAAACACGCCUCAUCUUCCAUGAAAACCUGUUGCUGCACCUCCCAGCCCCUAACCAGUCCUGCCUGGCCCCUUUCAGAGACCUUCAAUCGUCUUUGAAUGUGGUGCCUGCCCCUGACAGUCCAUGCCCUUCUUAUGCAGUGCCAGACACACCUGGCACAGUUUAGGCAUGCCUGUCAUGAGAUAAAAUUUGCAGGGAGCUGCAAGGCAACAAGAAGACCUGCACUAGUAAAGUUCAAGGAAGUUUCUUAACAGAGCAGUAACCUGGGGAACAUUUUGUUGGCUCUUACCUCUGUGAAAAGAUGUGUGAAGGAAGCACAGGGGAACAGCCCAGCUCCUUUCCUCAAGUCCCAGGUCUGAUGCUGGCCCUUCAGCAUCUUGGUGGAGGAAGUCCUGCACCUUCUGUUUCUGACCACAGUCAGGGGAGAGUCUCCAGGAACUGCAAAUACCAUCCUGGUAUGCAUUGCAAUGGAAAAUGUUGAAGCCAAUAAAGAAACGUGAAUAUAUAUGGGACUGCCACUAGCAGGCAGAAAAGUGUUUUGGAAAAGCAGCUCUAAAUGUGAUGAGGGAAACAUAAGAAGCAAUACAUUGCCUGCAACAUGAGCAGCUAGGCUCCCACAUGCAGGUUCAGCAGCUGAAGGAGCUUCUCCACAUUAUCAACAAGACCAAGGAGAAGGCCUCCCUAUAUACCAGAUGUGGCCUGACACAGCUGAACCUACUUCAUGUUUUAAACAAGUAAAGUCUUGUCCAGCCUGCAAUGCCAUGAUGUAAACAGCCUGCUGAUUCAGUUGUAUUUGUAGAUGGCUUCCAAUGUUUGCUUCUUUGAUUUCUUUUCUUUUUUUAUAUUUUUUUUUAUGUCUGCAUAAUGAGUUCCCUUCCCUCUCCCUCCUUCAACUAGGUCAAAAAGCCUCUGACUUCUCCAGCUUCUUCAAAGCCUUGGCUCUGCCUCCUUGUGUGGAUCCAGUCCAGGUGCUGGGCUGGUUUCUCCCCAGAGGCUUCCCGGUGCAAUCCGCUCCUGUAUCUUGGUUCCUGAUCUUGAGGGAAGAGGCAAAACAGCCAGCAGGGAGAGGCAUGCAGCAAGAGACAGCUCCAGACCGCUCAGCAGCGUAGUUGAACUUCAAUUUGUCCAUCUCAAGGACAAGAACGAAGUAAUGCCUUUGUUCCUUCAAAUUUAAAGACGAGAAGUUUAUUUGGUGAUAGCAAAAUGGUUCACUAAGCCUCCUCAACAACCCUGGGCACAACACGGGCUGGCAGCUCAU